rnacentral:rRNA from 1 species
CGGUGUUUAACUGGCGUGAUGUGGGACGUCCUACCGGUGGGCUUAGCCUCGCGAGGGGCGGCCCAACUAAUAUCCCGUCGCGGUGCUCUUUACUGAGUGUCGAGUCGGGCCGGUACGUUUACUUUGAACAAAUUAGAGUGCUUAAAGCAGGCUAUCCUCGCCUGAAUACUGCGUGCAUGGAAUAAUGGAAUAGGACCUCGGUUCUAUUUUGUUGGUUUUCGGAACCCCGAGGUAAUGAUUAAUAGGGACAGAUGGGGGCAUUCGUAUUGCGACGUUAGAGGUGAAAUUCUUGGAUCGUCGCAAGACGGACAGAAGCGAAAGCAUUUGCCAAAAAUGUUUUCAUUAAUCAAGAACGAAGGUUAGAGGUUCGAAGGCGAUCAGAUACCGCCCUAGUUCUAACCAUAAACGAUGCCAGCUAGCGAUCCGCCGAAGUUCCUCCGAUGACUCGGCGGGCAGCUUCCGGGAAACCAAAGCUUUUGGGUUCCGGGGGAAGUAUGGUUGCAAAGCUGAAACUUAAAGGAAUUGACGGAAGGGCACCACCAGGAGUGGAGCCUGCGGCUUAAUUUGACUCAACACGGGAAACCUCACCAGGCCCAGACACCGGAAGGAUUGACAGAUUGAUAGCUCUUUCUUGAUUCGGUGGGUGGUGGUGCAUGGCCGUUCUUAGUUGGUGGAGCGAUUUGUCUGGUUAAUUCCGAUAACGAACGAGACUCUAGCCUGCUAAAUAGGCGUACCUUAUGGUAUCGCGAAGGCCCCCGGCUUCGGCCGGUGGGUUUUUACUACCAACGUACAAACAAAUCUUCUUAGAGGGACAGGCGG